AUUCAAAUUUCUGCCCUAUCAACUUUCGAUGGUAGGAUAGUGGCCUACAAUGGUUUCAACGGGUAACGGGGAAUUAGGGUUCGAUUCCGGAGAGGGAGCCUGAGAAACGGCUACCACAUCCAAGGAAGGCAGCAGGCGCGCAAAUUACCCAAUCCCGAUACGGGGAGGUAGUGACAAUAAAUAACAAUACAGGGCUUUCUAGUCUUGUAAUUGGAAUGAGUACAAUUUAAAUCUCUUAACGAGGAACAAUUGGAGGGCAAGUCUGGUGCCAGCAGCCGCGGUAAAUUCCAGCUCCAAUAGCGUAUAUUAAAGUUGUUGCAGUUAAAAAGCUCGUAAUUGAAUUUUAGGCCUGGUUGGACGGGUCUGCCUUUGGUUUGUACUGUCCUGACUGGGUCUUACCUUCUGGUGAGCUGUCGUGUUGGUUUACUCAGCGCGGAGGGGAACCAGGACUUUUACUUUGAAAAAAUUAGAGUGUUUAAAGCAGGCAUUCGUUGAAAUACAUUAGCAUGGAAUAAUAGAAUAGGACUUUGGUUCUAUUUGUGGGUUCUAGGACCGAAGUAAUGAUUAAUAGGGAUAGUU
rnacentral:rRNA from 1 species